rnacentral:rRNA from 1 species
GUAAUAGCUCAAAUUUGAAAUCUGGCUCUUCGAGUCCGAGUUGUAAUUUGUAGAGGAUGUUUCGGGUGCGCCCGCAGUUUAAGUUCCUUGGAACAGGACGUCAUAGAGGGUGAGAAUCCCGUCUUGAACUGUACGGCAAGUCCAUGUGAAACUCCUUCGACGAGUCGAGUUGUUUGGGAAUGCAGCUCAAAAUGGGAGGUAAAUUUCUUCUAAAGCUAAAUAUUGGCCAGAGACCGAUAGCGCACAAGUAGAGUGAUCGAAAGAUGAAAAGCACUUUGAAAAGAGAGUUAAACAGUAUGUGAAAUUGUUAAAAGGGAAGCGUUUGCAACCAGACUUGUUUCUAACAGUUCUACCGCAGUUCUCUGUGGCUUAUUCUGUUAGUCCAGGCCAGCAUCAGUUUGGGUGGCUCGUUAAAGACUUUGGGAAUGUAUCUACUCCUUCGGGUGUAGACUUAUAGCCCAUUGUGUAAUAGGGUCUACCUGGACUGAGGUACGCGCUUUAUUGCUCGGAUGCUGGCGUAAUGGUUGUAAACGACCCGUCUU